CUCUCGGUCCAGCCGUCCUUGCCGCUAUCCGUUGUCGUUCUUCUUUUUCUUUCGUCGUGGUCACCGUUCCGACCGUCGGCCACCCGAGGGCACCUCUCCCCCAACAACCCUCCGCGAUACGAAACGGAGCGGAGCGCAACGGCGCGCUUCCGGUGCACAUCGAUGGCUACUUCCGUUCACGCUCGAAGAGCUCGUCGACGCUACACCGGCCACACGGAAGGGUCGUUUCUCGCGGUCUCCGGGUGGAGAGUACGCCCCAACGUGCUCGCCGUAAACGCGGGGGUAAUCGCGCGCUGCUGGACUCACGCUCGCGCGCGUUCGCCUGCCCGUUAACCCUUCUCCGGCGGGAACAGCAUUCUUGUCGGAUGAACGGAUUUUAAUUGCACGGCUGGCUUAUAGGAGCGAUUAGGAUAACCGAUACUCGAUCCCUCGACUUCGUGCAAUCCGAAUCGGGAACGACGUCCCGAGGCAUAUUUUAAGGAUCUUCACUGGAGCAACAAAAUGAUAUUUUGAGGAUUUUCAGCGAACGACGAGAGUAUAUUUUCGAUUUUUCAGCAAAAAGAUUCCUGUACCUGCGAGAUGAAGUUUGAAAAGUGCAGACAGGCCAAGGAAUAACGCGGAAGUAAUCUGCUUUGAAGGCGACGACGAAAAUGUUUAUCGUAUUCCACCACUGAUCGCUAUGACGCGCACAAAUAAUAAAUCUUAUCGACUCGUCGGGAUAUCACGAAUAAAUCUUGGAACUCGAUUUCCUCCUGAGGGACAACAUCGUGCUGGUUAUCGCGCGGCAUUUCCAUGCAGAGUAACGUGAGCGAUCUCUACCAUUUCCCAUUUUCGCGUGCUAUCAUCGAAGGGCUAUAGGUUGAAAUCAUGUCUGAAUCGAUAAAGCUUAUGACAGUUGCUAAAAUAAAGGUAUUAAAUUAUUUUAGAAAUAUUUGUGAUGUACGUGAGAUGUCAAAAAUAAAAAAAGGGGAAUUUAUAGAAGCUGUCUCCGAAACAUGUUUAGCUUGGACGUUAAUAUGAUCUUGCUGCAGCUAACUAAAAAUUUUUAUUUCAUCUAGUAUGCAAAUAAACGUACUCGUCUGAGGGAAAAUAGAAAACCUAUGUUCACGGUUGGUUCCUCUGCUAUAGAGCGUUGUUGCAGCAUCCGUUACGCGAAAACAGGAAAAAAGAAUAUGUUAAAGAAAAGUUUCAUCUUGCUCAAAGAAAUUCGAAAGAAGUUGCACAAUUGUUGAGUUAUUAUCUAUUAAUCGACUAUUCUGUACAUGCACUGAACAUUUUAACCAUGUUUUUAAUACUGGGACAUCAUAUGGGAGAAAUUAGCUCAUUUGUCGCAUCUUUCUCCGACUAAAGCCGGGACAACGGAGAAGCGAUAAUUUCUAUUGACAUAAUGCCAAUAAUAAUGUCGAUACAAGGAAAUCACAUGGAGCAACAUGAUAAAACAGAUGGCGGACCGAAGGAGGAAUCGACGUAUACCGAAACGCGAGUCGAAGGGGUGACUGAAGUGACGAUAAAUAAUGCAGCAGCUUUGCUUCCUGCUUUAGUUAUUAAGUGAACUAUUCAUGCAUCCUGAAUGCUUCACCGGAACAGCUAUACCUACCAUGUUUCCAUGUGUAUCGCGCACUAUCUCAACACAAUAAAUGAAAGAAAAUUAUAUGC